CUGGACUCUUAACAACAGGAUUUCUCUUAUUUUUCUUAUCUCUUGAUUGCAGUUGGAAGAGUAAGAGCAAGCAGCAAAGAGCCUCUGGUGAAAGCUUCUGCAGUGGUAGCAGCACAGGAACAGCAGCUGCAAGUUUAGUGCUACUGAGAUAUUUCACUUCAUUUUUUGCCCAGUGGCCCAAAAAAAGGGUUUUUGGCAACAUAAAAGGAGAUUCGGAAAGUGGUGAAAAAAGGAAAGUUUCAGGCUGAAGAGGUUUGUCACCUCCCACUUCGACGGAAAGGAAUGACACAAACUACCAGACUUUCUUUCAGUCUCAGGGUGCUGUUAUUGCCUCCACUACACAAAAAAAAGAACCAAAGAAGAAGAAUAAAGGAGUUGAAAAUUGUGCAUUAAAAUAGUCUUUCAUAACAAGGUAAAUACAGCAUAUUUUUCAGUUGGUUUUAUCUUGUCAUAUGUCAGGAAGAAUAAACUAUAAUCUACAUUCUCUUCCUACUACAUUUCCCUGCCUAAAACUUGUUGAGUACUCAACUUGAGAACUUGUUUUUCUCCUUCAAAACAUUCAUUAAAACACAAAUGACUUUCCCCCUUUUGAUGUUGCCAAAGGAACU